rnacentral:lncRNA from 1 species
UCGCGGUGAGUUACGCCGUUCUGGUGGCAAAAGUGGAGAGCCGACACGAGCUGUUGAAAGUAGCGGCGAGCCUUAGAUUCCUUGAGUUUAACACGAUGAAGAACCUUGGAGAAGAGCUCGCCACCCAAGGCCAGCUCAAUCACGAGGUAAAUUUUGGUCCUGGUGGCCAUAACCUCAUGGAUUUUAAGAAUAUUCGGAUGGUGCUUGAGGCGGCACAUGGCGGAAAUCUCACAAAGUAUCCGAGGUUCCAUGGCGGCGUCCACCAUGCGCGUUUUGUCUAUAACCUUUAUAGCUACGAGCUUGUCAUCCGUCAGAGAACGAGCUGCGUAAACCUUGGCGAAGCUGCCGCGGCCCAAUAAUUUACCGAGUUCGUACCUGUUAAGAAGGGUGGUG